UGGAGAUAUAGGGUUUUUAUUCAUUUCCACAAAGGGUAAGUGCAAAGAAUGCACAUGGAUUAUGAUAACUUGGGUCACACAAUACAGAUGGAAGCCAACUUAAAAACAUGACUGAAGACAAGGAUCUUGGCAAAGUGGUAGGGCAGGUGUGCAAAGACAGUCUUUAAGGACCAAAUGGUCAGUUGUUGGUCCAUGUUAUAUUAAAAUAGACAGACAGACAGAUAGAUAGAGAACCCUUUGGAAUAUACUUAGGAUAUGUAGAAUGACAAAUUAAACCACAAACAUCAUCCUCAGUUAUGGAACACAAUAUUAUGUAAAUAUCAACAGUGAACAAAGUGACAGCUUUGAAGUCAAAACUAGUAUUAAGCAUGGCUCCAUUCUAUCUUAGUACUCAUUUGUAUUGAUACAGACUUCAAAAAUCAAGAUAGGAAUCACAUGACAAGAUGGAGCUGUAAUGGGAAAACAGAAGUUUGCUGAUAACAUCUGUUCCAUAAAUAACAAAAUUGUUCAGCUGCAACAAAAACAACCUAUUGAAAUACUUACAUCAAAUUGAACUAGUAGUAACAAAAAGAAAUAGAUUAUGAAUCAACCAUCUUCUAGAAGAAGAUGGAAAAAUUCAUCUAUAUUGGCAGCCUCCUCUAUGUUACCAAUGGCAUGAAAA